rnacentral:miRNA from 1 species
AUUGGCUCUGUAGAGGACUGGA